rnacentral:rRNA from 1 species
AGAUUGAACGCUGGCGGCAUGCCUAACACAUGCAAGUCGAACGGGAGUAGCAAUACUCUAGUGGCGGACGGGUGAGGAAUACGUAGGAAUUUGCCCUUAAGUGGGGGAUAACCCGGGGAAACCCGGAUUAAUACCGCAUGACCUCGAAAGAGCAAAGUGGGGGAUCGCAAGACCUCACGCUUUUGGAGAAGCCUACGUCGGAUUAGCUAGUUGGUGAGGUAAUGGCUCACCAAGGCGACGAUCCGUAACUGGUCUGAGAGGAUGAUCAGUCACACCGGAACUGAGACGACGGUCCGGACUCCGUACGGGAGCAGCAGUGGGAAUAGUGGACAA